UCCUACGGGAGGCAGCAGUGGGGAAUAUUGGACAAUGGGCGCAAGCCUGAUCCAGCCAUGCCGCGUGAGUGAUGAAGGCCUUAGGGUUGUAAAGCUCUUUCACCGGUGAAGAUAAUGACGGUAACCGGAGAAGAAGCCCCGGCUAAUUUCGUGCCAGCAGCCGCGGUAAUACGAAGGGGGCUAGCGUUGUUCGGAUUUACUGGGCGUAAAGCGCACGUAGGCGGAUCGAUCAGUCAGGGGUGAAAUCCCAGGGCUCAACCCUGGAACUGCCUUUGAUACUGUCGAUCUGGAGUAUGGAAGAGGUGAGUGGAAUUCCGAGUGUAGAGGUGAAAUUCGUAGAUAUUCGGAGGAACACCAGUAC
rnacentral:rRNA from 1 species